GAAAAGGGCUUCUGUCGUGAAGUGACACAACGUAGGGCCAGCUCGUUUUGCUCUUACGUGCGGAAUCGACAUCAAGGAGAUUUCGGAAAGCAUAAUUUUUGUUGUUAAGGCAGCUGGUGAUCGUUGAA
rnacentral:snRNA from 1 species